rnacentral:rRNA from 1 species
GAUCCUGGCUCAGGACGAACGCUGGCGGCGUGCUUAACACAUGCAAGUCGAACGAAGAGCGAUGGAAGCUUGCUUCUAUCAAUCUUAGUGGCGAACGGGUGAGUAACGCGUAAUCAACCUGCCCUUCAGAGGGGGACAACAGUUGGAAACGACUGCUAAUACCGCAUACGAUUUAAUCUUGGCAUCGAGGAUAGAUGAAAGGUGGCCUCUACAUGUAAGCUAUCACUGAAGGAGGGG